rnacentral:rRNA from 1 species
AUUGAACGCUGGCGGCAGGCUUAAUACAUGCAAGUCGAGCGAGCGGCGGACGGGUGAGUAAUGUCUGGGAAACUUCCUGAUGGCGGGGGAUAACUACUGGAAACGGUAGCUAAUACCGCAUACCAUCAGAUGUUCCCAGAUGGGAUUAGCUAGUAGGUGGGGUAAUGGCUAACAUAGGCGACGAUCCCUAGCCGGUCUGAGAGGAUGACCAGCCACACUGGAACUGAGACACGGUCCAGACUGCUACGGGAGGGAGCAGUGGGGAAUAUUGCACAAUGGGCGAAAGCCUGAUGCAGCCAUGCCGCGUGUGUGAAGAAGGCCUUCGGGUUGUAAAGCACUUUCAGCGAGGAGGCGUUACUCGCAGAAGAAGCACCGGCUAACUCCGUGCAAGCAGCCGCGGUAAUUC